rnacentral:tRNA from 1 species
GGUGGCUCAGUGGUAGAGUGCUUGCCUGGCAUGCAUGAAGCCCUGGGUUCGAUUCCUCAGUACCA